rnacentral:rRNA from 1 species
GAUGAACGCUGGCGGCGUGCUUAACACAUGCAAGUCGAACGGUGAACGAGGGAGCUUGCUUCCUCCGGAUCAGUGGCGAACGGGUGAGUAACACGUGAGCAAUCUGCCCUGGACUCUGGGAUAAGCGUUGGAAACGACGUCUAAUACCGGAUACGAGGCGUGGGGGCAUCCCCAACGCCUGGAAAGAACUUCGGUCCAGGAUGAGCUCGCGGCCUAUCAGGUAGUUGGUGAGGUAAUGGCUCACCAAGCCUACGACGGGUAGCCGGCCUGAGAGGGUGACCGGCCACACUGGGACUGAGACACGGCCCAGACUCCUACGGGAGGCAGCAGUGGGGAAUAUUGCGCAAUGGGCGCAAGCCUGAUGCAGCAACGCCGCGUGAGGGACGACGGCCUUCGGGUUGUAAACCUCUUUUAGCAGGGAAGAAGCGAAAGUGACGGUACCUGCAGAAAAAGCACCGGCUAACUACGUGCCAGCAGCCGCAGUAACAC